AAUAGACAUUGAGAUUUUAUGAAUUUGUAUAUUUUUGCAAGAGGAAAGGUGUGUAAAAAACUAUCAUUGGAGGUCUAACAUUCUUUUGCAAUGAAACCGAAACAUCAACAACAUCAACAACACUCAUUGCAAACGAAUAUUAGACCUCCAAUGAUUGCUUCAAGGUUUGUCCUUUUAUUAAAACAAGAAAAAGGAAAGGUGUGUAAAAAAUAAACGUAGUGAGUAAUAAAAUUAUAGUUUAAAAGAAAACCAAUAACACGCUUUUA